rnacentral:tRNA from 1 species
GCCUGGGUGGCGCAGUCGGUUGAGCGUCCGACUUCAGCUCAGGUCACGAUCUCACGGUCUGUGAGUUCGAGCCCCACUUCGGGCU